rnacentral:rRNA from 1 species
GUAGCUUGCUACUUGCUGACGACCGGCGCACGGGUGCGUAACGCGUAUAGAAUCUACCUUGUACUAGGGGAUAGCCUUUGGAAACGAAGAUUAAUACCCUAUAGUAAGUAUUUAUGGCAUCAUUUAUACUUUAAAGAUUACGGUACAAGAUGACUAUGCGUCCUAUUAGUUUGUUGGUGAGGUAACGGCUCACCAAGACUUCGAUAGGUAGGGGCCCUGAGAGGGGGAUCCCCCACACUGGUACUGAGACACGGACCAGACUCCUACGGGAGGCAGCAGUGAGGAAUAUUGGACAAUGGAGGCAACUCUGAUCCAGCCAUGCCGCGUGCAGGAUGACGGCCCUAUGGGUUGUAAACUGCUUUUAUGUAGGAAGAAACACUCUCACGUGUGAGAGCUUGACGGUACUACAAGAAUAAGGACCGGCUAACUCCGUGCCAGCAGCCGCGGUAAUACGGAGGGUCCAAGCGUUAUCCGGAAUCAUUGGGUUUAAAGGGUCCGUA